rnacentral:tRNA from 1 species
GCCUCAAUGGUCGAAUUGGCUAAAACACCCGUACCGGAGAUAUGGGAGGUCCCAGGUUCGAAUCCUGGCUGAAGUU